rnacentral:lncRNA from 1 species
UAAACUAUGAUUGGAUCCUUCUUUAGGUGGAAGUUAUUUGAGAGAAUAAUUCCAUGAAAAUUAAAAAGUCAUGAUUCUUUCAUUGUAGGCUAGAAAAAUGGAUUUAGUCAGGAUAGAAUGUGGUUAGUGUCAACAAGAGAACAGAUAUUAGGCAUAUUUUCAGUUGAAUUGGUUUGUAUAUAAAAGUUUGGUUUGAGGGUCCCAUCAAGCUGCUUCUCAUUUCACCUUUGGUUUACCCAGUGAUGUAUCGUGACCGUGGUGACGAAAAAGGUCUUCUAAUAAACGUGAAUAAGCAUGUGUU